CAAUAGCGUAUAUUAAAGUUGUUGCAGUUAAAAAGCUCGUAGUUGGAUUUCUGGCAGAGCGUCCUCCGUCCGACAGUUCGUUUGGCUCGGAGCGCUCUACCAUCCUUCUGUUAACCUUUACGGAAUUCACUUUCUGCACUGGGGCUCAGAUAUUUUACCUUGAGAAAAUUAGAGUGUUUCAGGCAGGCUUUCGCCGGAAUACAUUAGCAUGGAAUAAUAGAAAAGGACUUCAACCUCUUCUGUUGGUCUGGGAGGCUGUAGUAAUGAUUAAUAGGGAUAGUUGGGGGCAUUAGUACUUGACUGUCAGAGGUGAAAUUCUCCGAUUUGUUAAAGACUAACUUAUGCGAAAGCAUUUGCCAAGGAUGUUUUCAUUAAUCAAGAACGAAAGUUAGGGGAUCAAAGACGAUCAGAUACCAU
rnacentral:rRNA from 1 species